UUCCGAAUGGGGAAACCCAGUGUGAUUCGUCACACUAUCAUUAACUGAAUCCAUAGGUUAAUGAGGCGAACCGGGGGAACUGAAACAUCUAAGUACCCCGAGGAAAAGAAAUCAACCGAGAUUCCCCCAGUAGCGGCGAGCGAACGGGGAGCAGCCCAGAGCCUGAAUCAGUGUGUGUGUUAGUGGAAGCGUCUGGAAAGGCGCGCGAUACAGGGUGACAGCCCCGUACACAAAAAUGCACAUACUGUGAGCUCGAUGAGUAGGGCGGGACACGUGGUAUCCUGUCUGAAUAUGGGGGGACCAUCCUCCAAGGCUAAAUACUCCUGACUGACCGAUAGUGAACCAGUACCGUGAGGGAAAGGCGAAAAGAACCCCGGCGAGGGGAGUGAAAAAGAACCUGAAACCGUGUACGUACAAGCAGUGGGAGCACGCUUCGGCGUGUGACUGCGUACCUUUUGUAUAAUGGGUCAGCGACUUAUAUUCUGUAGCAAGGUUAACCGAAUAGGGGAGCCGAAGGGAAACCGAGUCUUAACUGGGCGUUAAGUUGCAGGGUAUAGACCCGAAACCCGGUGAUCUAGCCAUGGGCAGGUUGAAGGUUGGGUAACACUAACUGGAGGACCGAACCGACUAAUGUUGAAAAAUUAGCGGAUGACUUGUGGCUGGGGGUGAAAGGCCAAUCAAACCGGGAGAUAGCUGGUUCUCCCCGAAAGCUAUUUAGGUAGCGCCUCGUGAAUUCAUCUCCGGGGGUAGAGCACUGUUUCGGCAAGGGGGUCAUCCCGACUUACCAACCCGAUGCAAACU
rnacentral:rRNA from 1 species